AUCAUUAAAAGCGAGCAGAGUGUCAGUAAAAGAUGUUCAGUGUAAAGUUGUCAGUCGGGGAAUAACACAGGGCUGUGAAUGAGACCUGUCUCUGUGAUCAGGCUCCUCCUUCUAAUCCUCUAACUUAGUGUUGAUGUGGACUAAACACAGAGAUCACAGCCUUCUUUAUACUCUCUGUAACUCAGAGUUAUUAACACUGCAGAUAUGAUGCCUCUGGUUAUCUCAGUGUUGCUGGCUGCUGUGUGUCUUGAAUGUAUGGCACAAACAGACAACGUGCUGCAACCAGAAGGAGAUGUGACUGCUACUGAAGGAGAGGCAGUAACUCUUGGCUGUCAAUACAACAGCAGUUCAUCAAAUGAUUAUCUCUACUGGUACAAACAGGAUGGAAACAACAGCCCCAGAUUCAUACUGAGCCGCUUUAAGAUUGGAGAAGGGAAAACAAUGAAAGAGUUUGAGGAGAGAUUUUCAUCCACACUGGAUUCUACUUUAAGAUCAGUUCCUCUGAAGAUCCAGAAGCUUCAGCUGACUGACUCUGCUGUGUACUACUGUGCUCUGCAGCCCACAGUGACAGGAAACACCACAACUCUGUACAAAAACCUCUGGAGAGAAGACAACACAAUACUCCACAACAUCCACUAGAGGGAGUCACACACUGAUAAACUUCAACUGUAGGUAUGGAGAUGUAGGCUUGACUGUUUUGUAGUGUUGAUAACGAGC